GACGAACGCUGGCGGCGUGCUUAACACAUGCAAGUCGAACGGAAAGGCCCUGCUUUUGUGGGGUGCUCGAGUGGCGAACGGGUGAGUAACACGUGAGUAACCUGCCCUUGACUUUGGGAUAACUUCAGGAAACUGGGGCUAAUACCGGAUAGGAGCUCCUGCUGCAUGGUGGGGGUUGGAAAGUUCGGCGGUUGGGGAUGGACUCGCGGCUUAUCAGCUUGUUGGUGGGGUAGUGGCUUACCAAGGCUUUGACGGGUAGCCGGCCUGGGAGGGUGACCGGCCACAUUGGGACUGAGAUACGGCCCAGACUCCUACGGGAGGCAGCAGUGGGGAAUAUUGCACAAUGGGCGGAAGCCUGAUGCAGCAACGCCGCGUGCGGGAUGACGGCCUUCGGGUUGUAAACCGCUUUCGCCUGUGACGAAGCGUGAGUGACGGUAAUGGGUAAAGAAGCACCGGCUAACUACGUG
rnacentral:rRNA from 1 species